GCACUGGUCGUCUAGCGGCGAAGACUCCGCACCCCGGGCACCGCCGCGUAACGGUGGUCGGCGGCGACGCCGGUUCGAGUCCGGCCCGGUGCU
rnacentral:tRNA from 1 species